rnacentral:rRNA from 1 species
AUUACAGAGUUUUCUAAACUCCCAACCCUAUGUGAACUUACCUUUGUUGCUUCGGCGGCGGAGGCUACCCUGCGGGAGAAUACCACUUAGUGGUUAUCCUGUAGUUUCAGGUACAUCAGCUACCCGGUAGUCAUCCCCGCCGGCGGCCAACUAAACUCUGUUUUCUUUGGAAUUCUGAAUAACAAACUUAAUAAGUUAAAACUUUCAACAACGGAUCUCUUGGUUCUGGCAUCGAUGAAGAACGCAGCGAAAUGCGAUAAGUAAUGUGAAUUGCAGAAUUCAGUGAAUCAUCGAAUCUUUGAACGCACAUUGCGCCCAUUAGCAUUCUAGUGGGCAUGCCUGUUCGAGCGUCAUUUCACCACUUAAGCCCUGUUGCUUAGCGUUGGGAGCCUACGGCACGGCCCGUAGCUCCUUAAAGUGAUUGGCGGAGUUGGUUCUCACUCUAAGCGUAGUAACUAUAUCUCGCUUCUGUAGUGGUCCCGGCCCCUGCCGUAAAACCCCUUAUACAAAGGUUGACCUCGGAUCAGGUAGGAAUACCCGCUGAACUUAAGCAUAUCAAUAAGCGG